rnacentral:lncRNA from 1 species
CAGGCUUGGCCCAUAGAGACAACUAAACCAGAUGAAUCGAUUCUCUACUGAAAGGUUUUGAAUCGAUUCUCUACUGAAAGGACCUGAGUCUGAGCUCCAACCCAGAGCUGUCCGGUCGAGUGCCUGUCAGGACCACAGUACUCUUCAUGACAGACUGGAUGUAGUGGAGAAGCGUGUAGAGGACACAGUCCAGAAGCUAGAGGCUGAGCUGGCUGUGCUACUGGAUGCCAUAGAGGCCCCUGAGUGGAGCCCCCUGCUGGAAACUGCUGGAAAACCUGUGGUGGACAUCCUGGACGGCCAGGGACUGGGAGAAGGUGGCGACUCCUGAGAGAGGAGAGCAGAGAUCUCUGUUGGGUGGCUAUGCUACUUCACUCUGCCCUGAUGAGGGUGCACCUGGCAAGGACAGACAAUGAAAGACACUUUAAUGUACAAUCUUUGUUUUUCUGGAGUUGGAAGUGUACACAAACUGUAUAAAACAAGCCCUUUAAAGAGUAAACACAGGCUUAGUAUGUAUUCUGUGCAACAGUUGAUAGAUCCCGACACUAAAGCUUACUUGUCUGCAUAAUACACUCCUCUAAUCCUCAGACACUCUCAUCCUUUCUUCCUUCUUAGACUAAACCUGAAUCCCUACACAACACACAAGGGUAACCGUCUCAGCCUCUCAGGAUGGUUACAGUUCUAAACAAUUGAUACUUUGGUUUUGUCUAGUAAUGCAUUCUGUUCUAUGUGGGAUUGUGU